UCCACAAUGUAGUCAUUAACGAGUGUUUUGUUUAGGGUGAGAUUUCUCCUAAUAGAUUUAACGUUUUUCAAUAUUAGGUUUUAUAAUAUGUAAGCCGAUUGGCCAAAACAUAUAAUAAUUUAAUGCUUGUAAGUAUUGUGUUCUUUGUCGUCUGAUUUAUCAUCUCAUGGUUUGCAAACUAAAAGCUUCCGCAUGACGCCCUCUCGAUUUCGAACCCAACAAGUGGUAUCAGAGCCCACGCUUCAAUAAAUCGAUGGUCCAAUUGUUGAACAAAGUUGCAAUCAAUUUGAUGAUAAUGAAGAUAUAUGUCCAAAAGCUACAUGUGGAGAUAAUUGUUAAUCAUAUUUUCAACAAUCCUGCUGUCACAUAUUUAAAAAUAAAGCUCACUUUUAACCCUGCAAAAGGGCUCCAAUAUUUUUAACCCGGAUGAGCUCAUAUAUAUUUUCAACCCAAAAGCUCCAUUUUUAAAUAUGACAAGCAGCAGUGAUGAAGAUUAUGUGAAGAACAAAGAUCAAAGAUGUGAAGAAGGUUGAUCAAUUGAAGAAAAUCAAGCCAAAAAGGGGAGAUUUGUUAGGGUUUUUUCCCUGAUUUUCUUACUAUAUUUAAGUUUUAUUUUUUCUUAGAAGGAAAAUAAAAGUUACCAUAAUUACUUUUACUUUUCCUGAAAGAAAAAAAUAUAAUUCUUUUCCAUAUUUGGCUAACCUCUUUCUUGGAGGAAAGGUUUUGGAACUCUAUAAAUAGAAGACCUCUCUUCUCAUACCAUAACACAAGAGACUCC
rnacentral:lncRNA from 1 species